rnacentral:rRNA from 1 species
CCUACGGGAGGCAGCAGUGAGGAAUAUUGGUCAAUGGGCGCGAGCCUGAACCAGCCAAGUAGCGUGAAGGAUGACUGCCCUACGGGUUGUAAACUUCUUUUAUAAGGGAAUAAAGUGAGUCACGUGUGCCGUUUUGUAUGUACUUUAUGAAUAAGGACCGGCUAAUUCCGUGCCAGCAGCCGCGGUAAUACGGAGGAUCCGAGCGUUAUCCGGAUUUAUUGGGUUUAAAGGGAGCGUAGAUGGGUUGUUAAGUCAGUUGUGAAAGUUUGCGGCUCAACCAUAAAAUUGCAAUUGAUACUGGCAGUCUUGAGUACAGUUGACGUAGGCGGAAUUCGUGGUGUAGCGGUGAAAUGCUUAGAUAUCACGAAGAACUCCGAUUGCGAAGGCAGCUUACUAAACUGCCACUGACAUUGAUGCUCGAAAGUGUGGGUAUCAAACAGGAUUAUAUACCCGAGUAGUC